rnacentral:lncRNA from 1 species
AGGCCGCGGCACGCAGGAGGUCGCCUCGCUGUGUGUCGUCUUCGCGCCACGCUCCGGCAGCCCCCRAGAAACAGCUGGCUUUGAACUGGUGGAUUUUGGAUGGGAGCUGAAUCAUCUGUUUAAAAUGCAUCCUUUUAAAUGGGAAAUGGCUUCCUCACUGUGUCCAGGCUCUGAGCUCCUGACUUUGUUGCUGUUUCUUCAGGAGACGUUAUAGCUGGUACACAYGUCCACCCACCCACCCACGUCUGUGCACACACAGCCCGGCAGGCAAGAAACCCAGCCCCGAACAUACAGCUGGGAUGAGCCAGGGCGCUGCUACCUGCCCUACUGCAGCCCCCGUGACAUGGUCCAUUACUUACACGGCUCUGCACGGAGGUCUGAGCUGCAAACAUGGGCUUUGGAGCCAAAGGAGGAGUGGUACCAUUUUACCAUCCAUUGCACCAAUCCAUCAAUCCCAAAAGAAAGUUCCUGGAGGAACAGGGAUGAACAGGAGGAAAUGUCCUCUUCCUGGACAUUUAAUGUUCUGCGACACCAGCUACGAGGUCGAAAGCAAACAGUGAGYGGCAGUCACUUCCCAGUGGACACGUCUCCUGUCUGAGAAUUGAAAACACACUCGAGAGCGUCCCCCGGUCUCAAAUCCUUGUUUAAGUGCUCCUGGCAUCUCUGUCCUUUCAGCACUCGCUUCAGUUGGCAACGCAAUGUUUUUCUUUCUUUUUUUAGAAUAUCCCUCUCAGGAGGCUCCAAGCUCUAGGCUGGGACCUGAGAACAGUGUGUUUGGAGAGCCUGAUUAUGCACUGGGGAGAUGAAGGAUAACAUGGACCGAGAAGAGUCUGGCUGAAAGCUCAUGGACUGGGGCCAAAGCCCUUUGCGAUUUUCUGCUCCAGGCACUAAAAGUAUAUUCCCGGAGCUGCCGUGAAACUCUGCAGAGACCUGUGGGGAAGAGGCACCGUUUUGCCUUACAGGACAAGGAAGAUGAAGGGGGUAACGUGGUGGGCCUGCCUGCAGCAGAGCUUCAUAAGUCUCCCAGCUAUAUGCAAGUGGAAGGAGAAGCAAACUCCUGAGCCGGAGCACCGUCCCCUUGGGUUGGCUCUCCAAACACAGGCAGAAAAUUUCCACAGGGGUUGAGAAGUUUGGCAUUUUAAUUUCUCUGUUUCGCUUUGUUCUGAGUAAAAAUAAACACUGCAGAUGUUGAUUGCUCUGGAUCCCU